GACGAACGCUGGCGGCGUGCCUAAUACAUGCAAGUAGAACGCUGAAGAGAGGAGCUUGCUCUUCUUGGAUGAGUUGCGAACGGGUGAGUAACGCGUAGGUAACCUGCCUUGUAGCGGGGGAUAACUAUUGGAAACGAUAGCUAAUACCGCAUAACAAUAGGUGACACAUGUCAUUUAUUUGAAAGGGGCAAUUGCUCCACUACAAGAUGGACCUGCGUUGUAUUAGCUAGUAGGUGAGGUAACGGCUCACCUAGGCGACGAUACAUAGCCGACCUGAGAGGGUGAUCGGCCACACUGGGACUGAGACACGGCCCAGACUCCUACGGGAGGCAGCAGUAGGGAAUCUUCGGCAAUGGGGGCAACCCUGACCGAGCAACGCCGCGUGAGUGAAGAAGGUUUUCGGAUCGUAAAGCUCUGUUGUAAGUCAAGAACGAGUGUGAGAGUGGAAAGUUCACACUGUGACGGUAGCUGACCAGAAAGGGACGGCUAACUACGUG
rnacentral:rRNA from 1 species